UCUUAAUUUUUUUUUUCAUGGGAACUAGGUGCUUUCAGCAGCUUUUUCUUCUUCUUUUAUUUAUCUAGAUGGUAUCUACUGUGCAUGAGGUGGGGUGCCAGGUGCUAGGGAUAUCAGAGAGCACAUGUGCCUGGGAGCGUGGGGACCUGGCCGACCUGUCAGGUAUACCUGCUGGAUUUGGAAAGGAACCAUCGUCUGGCAGACCCGGGAGCCCGGUGCCAGUCCCCAGUCCGUGCUGCUUUGUUGGACUUUGCAAAAUAGCCAUUUCCAGAACCCUGUCUUUAAAGAUGGGAGAAGCCUCAUGAAGGAUGGGUGUUUAGUCUCUGCUCUGGAAGGCAGAGGCAAUUUGAUUUAGGGAAUAGGAAAUAGCCAGGAGAAAAAAAA